GCACUCUGGUAUAGCCAUACAACGGAUUCCCUAAAUUGCCUAUCAGAAAAUGUUGGUGACAACUGAAAUGAAAAUUAGGUAAUAACAGAAAUAAAAGAG